rnacentral:rRNA from 1 species
ACGGGGUGCAGCAGGCGCGAACACUUUACAAUGCGGGAAACCGCGAUAAGGGAACCCCGAGUGCCAGCAUCAAAUGUUGGCUGUCCAGAUGAUUAAAAAUCAUUUGUUAGCAAGGGCCGGGCAAGACCGGUGCCAGCCGCCGCGGUAACACCGGCGGCCCGAGUGGUAGCCGUUUUUAUUGGGUCUAAAGGGUCCGUAGCCGGCCUGAUAAGUCCUUUGGGAAAUCUGGCAGCUUAACUGUCAGGCUUCUAAGGGAUACUGUCAGGCUUGGGACCGGAAGAGGUAAGGGGUACUCCAGGGGUAGGAGUGAAAUCUUGUAAUCCCUGGGGGACCAUCUGUGGCGAAGGCGCCUUACCAGAACGGGUCCGACGGUGAGGGACGAAAGCUAGGGGAGCAAACCGGAUUAGAUACCCGGGUAGUCCUAGCUGUAAACGGUGCUCGCUAGGUGUCAGACACGGUGCGACCGUGUUUGGUGCCGCAGGAAAGCCGUUAAGCGAGCCACCUGGAAGUACGCCGCAAGGC